AGCUCCAAUAGCGUAUAUUAAUGUUGUUGCAGUUAAAAAGCUCGUAGUUGGAUCUCGGGUGCAGGCUGGUGGUUCUACUUUCGUAGACACUGCUCGUCCUGACCUCACUGGUUGGUCUCCUCUUGGUGCCCUUGACUGGGUGUCUCGAGUGGCCGAUUCGUUUACUUUGAAAAAAUUAGAGUGUUCAAAGCAGGCAGUUCGCCUGAAUAAUGUUGCAUGGAAUAAUGGAAUAGGAUCUCGGUUCUAUUUUGUUGGUUUUCGGAAGUCGAGGUAAUGAUUAAGAGGGACAGACGGGAGCAUUCGUAUUACGGUGUUAGAGGUGAAAUUCUUGGAUCGCCGUAAGACGAACUACUGCGAAAGCAUUUGCCAAGAAUGUUUUCA
rnacentral:rRNA from 1 species